UACGGAGGGGGCUAGCGUUGUUCGGAAUUACUGGGCGUAAAGCGCACGUAGGCGGAUCAGUCAGUCAGGGGUGAAAUCCCGGGGCUCAACCCCGGAACUGCCUUUGAUACUGCUGGUCUUGAGGUCGAGAGAGGUGAGUGGAAUUCCGAGUGUAGAGGUGAAAUUCGUAGAUAUUCGGAGGAACACCAGUGGCGAAGGCGGCUCACUGGCUCGAUACUGACGCUGAGGAGCGAAAGCGUGGGGAGCGAACAGG
rnacentral:rRNA from 1 species